ACUCGUGGCAACUGCCACGAGUUUGUGGCCACGAGUUGACUCAGUAGCCCUGAAAUUGUUAGGAUGAUCCCAAAUAGGAUUAAAGGCACCUCAGUCCUGACAAUUAGGUGUGAUCACAAAAACUUAAGAACUAUUAGAUAUCCCUGGGAGUUGGUUACUUUCUGGGCCUGGAUGCAGCGCUGUGGUUUGGUUUCUUUGCCAUGGGUUCCUCUCCAGGAGGAGCUGCCAGCAACAUCUACUGUUAUCUAUUGGACGGCGAUGUAUCCCUCAGUGUGACCAUGACCUUCAUCAGUACUUUGGCUUCGCUAGCUCUGAUUCCAGCAUGGAUCUACAGUGUGGGUAUUAAUGUGAUCUACAAAGACAUAGAGAUUUCUAUUCCCUUCGUAAAUAUCAUCACAUCUCUAGUCGGCCUGAUCAUUCCUGUGGGCAUCGGGAUCCUGAUACAAAUCAAGAAACCCAACUGGGCCCGGUUUAUAGAGAAGUUGGUGCGCCCAAUCACUGUGCUAUUCAUCAUCUUGGUCUUCACCAUUGGUGUAUACGCCAAUCUGUAUGUGUUUGAACUCCUGACCCCUCUUACUUUACUAGCUGGGGCUUUAAUUCCUUAUUGUGGGUUUGCUUUUGGUGCUCUUGUAGCCUUCAUAACAAAACAUGACAGACAGAGAAUCCUGACAAUUGCCAUAGAGACUGGUAUCCAGAACACUGGUAUAUCCAUUGUCAUGCUCCAGUUGUCACUUCCGACUCCGGAUUCCGACAUUGGAAUGGUGGCUCCCAUUGUGUGUUCCAUUUUUACUCCUAUUCCCAUGGUGAUUGCCAUUACUGCAUAUGAAAUAAAGAAGCGGUGCUUUAAGAAGAAGGAGGUUGCCACUGGUGAGAAAUUGAAAGGACUAGAUGGGGGAGAAAAGUCAGAGAAAUUGGGGGUGGAGGGUUUAUCUUACCAGCCGGUUAGUGAGAAAGGGAGUGACUCUGAAACAGAGACUUGUAAAAAACAUGAAAAGAAAGGCAAUUAGAAAGUUUUAUGAAAAGAGGGGUUGCCAUGGACGUCUACUUAACAUAUUAUUUGAGGUUUUCAUUUGCUAGUCAGUACGGCUUGCGAAGUUGAAAUUGGAAAACUCUGAUACUCUCUGCCAUGUUUUUUAAUAAUGCGAAAAUGGAAAUGACAUUUUUUAUGUGAAAUAUCAUCAUGAAUACUUAUACAUGUAUCUAUGCUCAAAUAUGAAUAUGUAAAAGUUGAUGUUCCUCGCAAUAUAUAUUUGAUAUUCCAUGAAAAGUUUGCAUCUUGAGAGUGCUCAAAUGUUUUAUUGUUUUAUUCUUAAACAGUUUCAUUGCUGAUCAAGUUUUACACAUAUUUUUGUAUUUUUCCCCUUUAAGAUAUGUUAAGAAUUUUAUACCAAAUUAUCUGUAGAAUAUUAAUUUUUUUAUUUUAAGUUUAUACAUCUUUCUUUAAAGAAAAUUUAAUUAGAGCAUACUUGAUGUAACCUUUUAUAUGUCUUUGUUUUAGAUUUUAUUAGUAUAAUGACAAUGCCAUAUUAUUUUUAUAUAGAAUUACUGGUAUAUAUACAAACUGAUUGCUGGAAUGUUUUAAAUCAUUCAAUCAUGUAUUGCCUUAAGGUACUUCACUACACCGAGACUUAUACUUUUUAAGACACUAUGUCACAAGAUGGCGAUUUAAAUGUUUUGUGAAACUGUUUGUAUCAAUUGAUUUAGAUGUAGAUCAUCAUAGCUCAGUGGUUAAAAUAUCAGGCUUGUGAAACGCAGGUCAUGAGUUCGAAUCCGCCCGGGCUUUUGUUUAUGUUUACUGAAUGAAAUUUUUGAAAAUACUAUUUUUUAUCUAAAGUUGCACAUUUUUUUGCCUAUUUGAUAUAUAUACUUUUUAUCCAUCAUGCUUUCUAUCAUAAUCAAGUAAUUGUCUGCUGAUUUGAGAAACUUUUUCAAGGUGUAGUGAGACACCUUAAACAACCUGUGUUGGUGAAAGUAUUUCCUGAUUUGAUUUUUCUAUGUCAAAAGCAAUGAUAUUAUGUAUAUCAGUUUAUCAGCAUCGGUGAAGAUUGCAUUUGAAUGACAAGUCAUUAUUUGCUUGCUGUAUUUUGUUGACCAGUAGAUUUUGUUUUAGAUGGAGUGUUUUAUUAUAUUCUAGUCACAUCUUGUAGUCAAGUUUAAAUAAAAUGUAAAUUUGAAUCUAGCAGGCAGUUGUUAUUGUUAUCUGUAAUUGAUCCUAAAAAUGUAUGUUCAAUAUGACAUAUUUUUAAUACCUGUUCAUGUCUAAACAUGUUUUGUAUAAACAAAAUAUAUAUGUUUGUAUCUAG
rnacentral:misc_RNA from 1 species